UACGUAGGAGGCGAGCGUUGUCCGGAAUCACUGGGUGUAAAGCGCGUGUAGGCGGCCUGCCAAGUCUGCUGUGAAAGCGCCUGGCUUAACCGGGCGAGGUCGGUGGAAACUGGCGGGCUGGAGGACGGUAGAGGGGGGUGGAAUUCCCGGUGUAGUGGUGAAAUGCGUAGAGAUCGGGAGGAACACCAGUGGCGAAGGCGGCCCCCUGGGCCGUUCCUGGCGCUGAGACGCGAAGGCGCGGGGAGCGAACGGG
rnacentral:rRNA from 1 species